CCGGUGCUGUAUUCUGCCGCCCAUUUUACCCGCGGGGAAGCUGAGGCCCAGUGCUGUUUAAUAUCUUACUCAUGUUCACUUGAUGAGAAAGUGACAGAUCUGAGACAAACCCAGAUGGUGUGCUGCAUUCCCAUGGUUUUGGAUCCUGCAACCACUCUUGUUCCACGCAGAGGCCAGCCUGUGGGUUAGAGAGAUGCACAGAGAGGGACAAAGCCCGGAACAAUCACAGAGAAUCAAAGCACUCUGGUUAUACCUUGCCUUCCCUAAGCUGCUGAUGAAUUAGCAGAUCAAAUUCCAGAAAUAAUUCAACCUUCCACUGUUUUUUUUUUUUCACGCACGUGUCCCUUUGCCAGGCAGCCUUGCUGUAGUGCCUCUGUUUAAUAUUCCAUUUGUAAGAUGGGCAGCUCCAAGUCUAUGCUCACUCAGCUGCUCAUCAAGAAUAACAAGGUAAAUGACAAAGGAGGUAAGAAUGUCCUCGUCAAAUGUCCUAUGCUGUCACCUGCCAGAAAGCCCUCGGCAGUCAGUGUCCAAGAUGGCUCCCCACGCAGGAAUCUCUCUGAAGUGCUCUGUGAUCUCCACAACUAAAACAUAAUUUCUGGCUCCAGAGAGCUCUGGGGCUCUGUUCCCUUGUUCAGCCCGUGCUCCUGGUCAUCGUCAGCCCCAGGACUGAGGCUUGGACUGGCUCAGGGGCUGCUGUCUGUGAAAAUCAGAUUGAUGCAUCUGAUUACAUGGCCUGUUAACAUCUGCAAAAAAUAAGAUAAAAUAAGAAUUAUUUACCUGUCACAGCUUUGACACACCAUCACAAACUGGAGCUGACACCUCUUCUGUUCACCUUGGAGAGGUGCAGAGUGAAGAGCAGACCGUGACACACUUAAUAGAUUGCUGGGCAUUUACGGAGCUGCUUGUUACCCAGCUCAAGAGCCAUGUCCAACUGCUACAGCGUUCAUCAAAGACAAGAAGCCACAAGGAGCAAGUCAGUACUGCAAUUCAUUAAGGCAACUUGACCUCUGGGGAGAGGAGAAGAAAAAGGAACUAGCAGCAUUGAUUGCCUAUGUUUCCUGAAGUGUGGUGUCAUGGCAUAAAAUGACAUUGAAUCACAGGGUGAGAAAACCACGCAUUUCAGCUCUUGCUUGGCCUUUGAAGACGACAUAGGAAGUCUCUGCUGGUGCUAGUUGUCUUGAGCUUCUCUUUGACACCCUUUCCUAAUGCAAACAGAGUGGGCCUCAGCAUGGGAGCUUCUGCAGGUGACUCUGCUAAAAGAUCGACAGAAAAGAAAUGAGUCAACGAUGGUGCAGGUGAUCUGUGCAGUGCUGUGCAGGGGAUGGGUCAAAGCUGUGAUGCUGGCAUGCAACUAACUCACCAUUGUGAGCCAAUCACAAAAGCAGAAACUUGGCCAAGCUGAAAGGGACCAGCUUGACGAAGCUUCUGCUUUUGUGACUGUCUCCUAAUGCAGAAACCAGAGCACCUCAGAAGAUCAAGGCUUCCAAAUUCUCCUGGGGGAACAGACGUCAGCCAUUCAGCACAAAGGAAACUUCCUUCUCUGUAUGUCAGAGGAAGACAUAAUUGUGCCAUUUCCUUCUUGAAGAAGUUUACAAACAUUUGCAAGUUGUCAAAAAUAAUUAGUCUAAAAUUGUUUCAUAAACCGUGGAAUGAAACAGGACGUGCCUUGUUGAGAUCAAAGGGCUUCUGUUACCUUCUU
rnacentral:lncRNA from 1 species